AGGGUUGUAGUUAAUUAUAACAUUUGAUUUGCAUUUAAAAAGUACUAAUAUUUAGUCAACCUUA
rnacentral:tRNA from 1 species